CAAAAACGUAGCUAACUGUAUUUAAUUGUUAGUUAUUUCUGCUCUCUGGGAUACUAAAUAGCCGCAGUACCCUGACUGUGCAAAGGUAGCAUAAUCAUUUGUCUUAUAAUUGAAGUCUAGAAUGAAAGAAUCAACGGGUAGUUGCUGUCUCCGUAGGGUGAAUAGAAUUUAUUUAAUAAGUGCAAAUACUUAUAGAGAAAUAAUAGACGAGAAGACCCUAGAAAUUUUUUAUAACCUAGUAAUACUAGUUAUUAUUUUGUUGGGGCGACAGAAUAACAAUUAACUUAUUUUUACAAUGUGAACUGUGUUUAGAGAAAAGGCAAAUUACUCUAGGGAUAGCAGCAUAAUGUAAUAAAGUUUGUGACCUCGAUGUUGGACUAGGGAUCUUAAUAUUCAGAAGACGUUAAGGAAGGCUCUGUUCGAGCUAUGUACCCUACAUGAUCU
rnacentral:rRNA from 1 species